GACGAACGCUGGCGGCGUGCUUAACACAUGCCAGUCGAACGCUGAAGCUUGGUGCUUGCACUGGGUGGAUGAGUGGCGAACGGGUGAGUAAUACGUGAGUAACCUGCCCUUGACUCUGGGAUAAGCCUGGGAAACUGGGUCUAAUACUGGAUAUGACAUGCCACUGCAUGGUGGUGUGUGGAAAGGGUUUUACUGGUUUUGGAUGGGCUCACGGCCUAUCAGCUUGUUGGUGGGGUAAUGGCCUACCAAGGCGACGACGGGUAGCCGGCCUGAGAGGGUGACCGGCCACACUGGGACUGAGACACGGCCCAGACUCCUACGGGGGGCAGCAGUGGGGAAUAUUGCACAAUGGGCGGAAGCCUGAUGCAGCGACGCCGCGUGAGGGAUGACGGCCUUAGGGUUGUAAACCUCUUUCAGCACGGAAGAAGCGAGAGUGACGGUACGUGCAGAAGAAGCGCCGGCUAACUACGUG
rnacentral:rRNA from 1 species